UGGCAGCCAGGUAGCCACCUGGGAUGCUUAUUAGAGCCCCUGGGUCCAUCGUUAAGCACUGAGUUUCCUGGUGUAGUAGCCAGUAAUCCUCAGCAUUUAACUCUCUCCAGUUCUGCACAUCGCUUUACUAUCAGAGCAGGAAGGACUCUGCCCGAGACCAGAAUCAGGUUUACGUAGCAUCUAACGUAUGGUUGAUGAUGAUGACUGCUCACUGAAAAGAAAUGUAUGUAACCUUGGGGAUCCAAAACCUGCAGACAAAGGCCAAGUUCCUCAGGUUAUGCUCAGGUUGUUUGAAGCAUGCAGACCCAGACUGGAUAGAAACUGGUCAUCUAAAUCUUGCUGAUGUGAGUCUUCAGUGAGCUGAUGCUCCAGCAUGCAUUUAGGAGAAGGAAAGGGAGCAACACCAGACCCCCGAGCUCAGAUCUGAGCCCACACCUGAAUCCAAGUUUGCUUUUCUCUUUACUAAAUCUAAGCUUUGACUCCAGCGAAGGAUUAAGAGGUGAGUUGUGGUUUAAAAGGCCAUCGGGGCUUGUCUAUUUGAAAGCUGGUGCUGUCUUGACUGCCAGUGGCCUGAUACUUGCGUGUAUGCGCAGGCUUUUCAUGUGCUGGCAGAGCCACUUUCUACACCUGACAUAACUUCCACUGGUUGUUCCCAUGGCUGGGAAGGUCAAAGAGGGAGAGAAUUAACAGAAACUUAUAAAAAAAUAACGUAUCAGGAAAGCAUAAGGAAUAUGUCAAAGGUAGUCAGGUUGUUUGCUGUGCUUCAUGGGAUCCAUGUCACACUAGAAACUUUUUGCUCUGUGCUUUCUUAUAGGCAAAGGUAAAACUCUGCUCUGUUGCAGUCUGCAUCAACGCACCAGGAGACAGCAGGCUUAUCCCACUGGAACUGAACACGAGUCGACCCUGGGUUUUGGCUGCCUUCUCUUGGAAGCAAUAUUCUCCCCUCAAAAGCAGGGCAGGUAAAUCAAGGCCCAGGAGCUGAUGCCCAAUUGUCACGCAGUGACAACGCAGCACAGAAACGCUCGGUGCAAAUCCUGACCCUUGGGACACACCAGGAGCGAGCAAUCCUCUCUGGUGAACUCAGCAGGCCCAGGGCAGGUUUUUAAGAAGUGAGCGAAGGCACUGGCAGCCAGCUGGUCAGAGGGGCUUGCUUGGCUCUGUGGGCUGGGCUCAGGGUGGUAUUUGAUGCUGCAACACACCGUAGAAGAGCAGUUCCAAUCUGCAGCCCAUAGGGAACUUGCAGACUGUAGGACUGUAUAUUUUUCUUCCAAUGCUGUGUUUUCCUUUUCACAGAUGGAGGCUUCUUCAGAUUGGUAGGAAGAGCUGAAUGCGAUCUAGUCAAUAUAUUAGUGAUCACCACAGUCCAGAAGGAGCUGGGAAUCAUUCUUUGAAUUUAAGCUUAUACAUAUUGCUUGUUUGGUGCUGGAAAUGUGUUCUACAGCAGUGAUAUUGUGCCCUGUGGAAGAUUACAACUGUCCCAGCAGAGUCCCGUGGGAGGCUGGCUGUGGCUGUACCAUUUCCAGACCCGAAUUAACCUCCUGGCCUGUUGUUGCACAGGGCAGUACGGCUGUAUCAGCGCAGACUGGCAAUAUAUCAGAUUCACAUUCCAGUGAAACGAAGCAGGCAUAAAUCGAGCCUAACUGGACAACUGUGUCAAGCUCCCUGCUGUUUCAUAUCUUGGGAUCAAGCUGCAAGACGAGCUGGGCUGUACUGGAUAAACUAGCCAACUUGCUAGACUGAUGACUGCCAGAAGAAAUUACAGGAUAGCUGCACAAACCCAACUAAUCAAUAUAGGCUCAGCUGUAUGACAGGUAGAGAGCACUGUGAAAGCUGUUCUAGGUAAAUAUGAUAAACCCUUCAAAUUGCCAUUAGUCUGCAGUCAGCUUGGUGCAAGGGUAGAUACUGAAACAUACUUUCAUCACCAUCUGCAUCUCAAGGCCUUUUUUGAUGUAAAUAUGGUUAAGUACAGUUGAAGUUAAUGUACUUGUGGUUGUUUAUAUCAGAAAAGAAUGUCUGCUGGCUAUCACUCAUUUAAAAAGUAGGCUUCUCAAAGAAGAAAUCAUGUUUCUGUAGCAGAAAUCAAAGAUUUUUUCAUAC